rnacentral:rRNA from 1 species
UACGUAGGUGGCAAGCGUUGUCCGGAAUUAUUGGGCGUAAAGCGCGCGCAGGCGGUCCUUUAAGUCUGAUGUGAAAUCCCACGGUUCAACCGUGGAAGGUCAUUGGAAACUGGGGGACUUGAGUACAGAAGAGGAAAGUGGAAUUCCAAGUGUAGCGGUGAAAUGCGUAGAGAUUUGGAGGAACACCAGUGGCGAAGGCGACUUUCUGGUCUGUAACUGACGCUGAGGCGCGAAAGCGUGGGGAGCAAACAGG